rnacentral:rRNA from 1 species
GAUGAACGCUGGCGGCGUGCUUAACACAUGCAAGUCGAACGAGGCACUUUAUUUGAUUUCCUUCGGGACUGAUUAUUUUGUGACUGAGUGGCGGACGGGUGAGUAACGCGUGGGUAACCUGCCUUGUACAGGGGGAUAACAGUUGGAAACGGCUGCUAAUACCGCAUAAGCGCACAGCAUCGCAUGAUGCAGUGUGAAAAACUCCGGUGGUAUAAGAUGGACCCGCGUUGGAUUAGCUAGUUGGUGAGGUAACGGCCCACCAAGGCGACGAUCCAUAGCCGACCGGAGAGGGUGACCGGCCACAUUGGGACUGAGACACGGCCCAAACUCCUACGGGAGGCAGCAGUGGGGAAUAUUGCACAAUGGGCGAAAGCCUGAUGCAGCGACGCCGCGUGAGCGAAGAAGUAUUUCGGUAUGUAAAGCUCUAUCAGCAGGGAAGAUAAUGACGGUACCUGACGAAGAAGCACCGGCUAAAUACGUG